AGGAAUACGAGAUUUCUGCCAUUAAAAGUUCUUAAGGUGGGAGUUCUCUUGUGGCUCAGCAAGCUAAGGAUCUGGCAUUGUCACACCUUGAACCCAGAGUGCCUCAGGUUGCUUCUGUGGCUGGGGUUCGAUUGAAUGAACAAUUGAGAUAAAUUUUUAGACCACUGGGUCCACCUGAAGGUGCUAAGAAAGCCACCAUUACGUGAUCAUAUUCAGGCAAGAAAAAGUGCAAAGCAGACUGAUGAUAAUCCAUUCAUUUAAGAAUCCUUGGAGUUCCUGUUGUGACUCAGCGGUAAACGAAUCCGACUAGGAACCAUGAGGUUGCGGGUUCGAUCCCUGUCCUCGCUCAGCGGGUUAGGGAUCCGGCAUUGCCAUGAGCUGUGGUGUACAUUGCAGACGUGGCUUGGAUCCCGUGUUGNNNNNNNNNNNNNNNNNNNNNNNNNNNNNNNNNNNNNNNNNNNNNNNNNNGGCCGGCGGCUGCAGCUUCCACUCAGCCCCUAGCCUGGGAACCUCCAUAUGCUGCGGGAGCAGCCCAAGAAACGGCAAAAAGACACACACACAAAAAAAGAAUCCUUGCGCCAAACUUGUAUAUAUGACUGAAUUGUGGUUUCAAAUACUUUGUGUGUCCUGCCUCGCUUUGCUUUGUCUUUCUGUGUUCUGUCUCUUCGACUAGACCAUGGGCUCUUGAGAAACAGGUGUGACACUUCCCCGUGUCCCUGACGAUCUCUAGCGCAACAUCUUACACAGAGAGCGUGCAGUAGGUGUUUGUUGAUGGCUGGAUUGAGACCAUCCAUGGUGAUCUAGUUUGCAGGGUUUUUUGGGUUUUUUUGUAUUCAAGGUGUUUGCUCCCUGCAUAAGUGUUACUACCUCAAUUUGUCUUGGACACUGAGGUGGAAGGUGACCACGUGAAUUGAACCAUCUUCUGGUGGUUUGGAUGCAUUAUCAAUUAGCCAUGGAACUGACCAGCAUAGAUUGCAGUUGAGGACUUUCUUCCUCUCUUUUCCCUGGUGUUGUUUGGACAGGAGAAGUGAAGAACAAUUUUCAAGCUUCUGUAAGCUACGUGAUGAAUAAUUGCUGGAUAAAUUAACAUCGUCUCUAGAUGGGACAAAACAAGAGGCCGAUCUGACUGCCCCGCUUUGGCUCUCCUGUGGCCGCUGGCGGGAAUGACCUUGCUCUCAGCUUCCAGCCCCCACCUUGCUUGUCUGUGACUGUGGUUGAGUCAUGGCCACCUUGCAGGCCCUGCUUUUUCCAGUCAUAGAGGAGCGAGGAGUUGCCACUGGAUGCCUGAGAGUGCCUGGGCUAGAAGACCCCCUGGAAGUUGGCUGAUACAGUAGAGGGCUCUUUGUGUGAUAACGAACUCCUCCCCUUCCCCUCAGCCAGAUGUCCUGCUGAGGUAAGGAAUAUGGAGUGGGUUUUUGUUUCUCUCUUUGGCUUUCAGUUCCUUUUGUGUGUGUCUGGCCUUGUAAAUGUGGUGAAUAAAUGCUAUAAUUACACCCCUCUUUGACAGCUCUGUAAUUUAAUUGUAGUUCACUCUGAGCAUCUUUUGAAGACAAUGAUGUGUAUUGAAGAUGCAGCUGUUCCAGUAGUCACUGCUCAAUGGACAGGGCUCAUUGGGGGACCUGUCAGUCUACAGUCUAUUCAGGGCCAGAUAGAGGAAUAUACUGUGUGUGUGUGUGUGUAUGUGUGAGGGAGAGAGAGAGAGAGGGAGGGAGAGACCACUUUCUACACCCUCCCUGGUUUGGCAAAAGUAGCAGUGUGAAUUUAUAGAGAAGCAUUGUUGAACAUUGGCCUUUGCCUAAAUAUGUAGAUUACAUAUUCUAAAGUAGAGAAAUGCUGGCAUUUAUGUUCUGCCGUGAGCUAAGCUGGGUACCUUUGUUGCUUGGUAGAGGUGGUCCCUCUAGCAAGUAGAGGUUGACGCCUGCCGCCAUUGGCAGGUGUUACCCAAACUCCCUUCAGUCAUCAGCGGUUUCGUCGUUUCCUGAGACUGCCAUAGCAGAAUAGCUGAGUCCCACAGGCAGGUGGCUUAAACAACAGGCGUGGAUUGUUCUGUUCUCUGUGUCCUGAGGCUAGAGGCCGGAAGCAGGUGUGGGCAGGGCUGAUUCCCUCUGAGGGCAGUGAGGUUCUGUUUAUUCCUCUUAGGGUUCCUGGCACCUCCAGGUGUGUCUUGCUUGCACCUUCUGGUCACUCUGGGUCUUCACAUCGUCCUCCCUCUGCACGUGUGUCUGUCCAAAUUCCCCCUUUUCAUAAGGACAUCAGUCAGGUGGAUUAGGGCCUCAUUGUAACUUGAUUGCUUUGGCAAAGACUCUGUCUCCAAAUGAGGUCACAUUCUGAGCUGCUGGCAAUUAGGACUCUUACUGGAUCUGUUCUGGAAGGGACACCAUUCAGCUUGUAACAGAUGUCUACUUGAAAAUGCAGAAAUUUCCUUCUUAUAAUCGCUGCAGAUAAUGUGUGCCCUGAAAGGCUUUUGAAUGACGACAGGAAGGCUCUCACAAGAAUUAUUUUGUGAUGUUAUUAUUGCUUGUAUUUAUUUGGGGCUAUAAUGCAGAAUGUUUAUAUCUGCCAUCUUCCUGAUACUUGGAAGUUGUGCAGGGGAGCCCGGACUGCUUUUGACCUUCACUGCCCUGCAUACGCCUUAGUGGAGCAGGAUGCUGUGACAGGAUGGGCAAUAGCGGGUCCCUCAGAGCCUUCCAGCUGAUGGGUGGAUGGAAGAUGAGUUCUUCUGAUUGAAGCUGAAUAUCACGAGUCACCCCCCGCUCCUGGUUCUCUUCCCACCACUUCCUCUCCCUGUUGCAAGAGACAGUUUGAAUAUAAUUCAAGGUGUUCCUAGUAUUAGGAAAUCCCUUCCUUGGAGGGUUCUGGUGGGAGGUUCCAUCACUGUUUGUUAUGGACAGAAAUUUGAAUAUAUCAUCUAAGAUGAAGGAAAUAAAAUGGAAACAAUGCAGGUAGCUUGAUGUGAUAGCAAUAAGAGUGAACGAAAGAGUUCUUGUGGCUCAGUGGAUUAUGAAUCUGACUAGCAUCCAUGAGGCAAGAAAAACAAAAAAAGCAAAAAAAAA
rnacentral:lncRNA from 1 species